AUUGAACGCUGGCGGCAGGCCUAACACAUGCAAGUCGAGCGGAUGAAGGGAGCUUGCUCCUGGAUUCAGCGGCGGACGGGUGAGUAAUGCCUAGGAAUCUGCCUGGUAGUGGGGGAUAACGUCCGGAAACGGGCGCUAAUACCGCAUACGUCCUGAGGGAGAAAGUGGGGGAUCUUCGGACCUCACGCUAUCAGAUGAGCCUAGGUCGGAUUAGCUAGUUGGUGGGGUAAAGGCCUACCAAGGCGACGAUCCGUAACUGGUCUGAGAGGAUGAUCAGUCACACUGAAACUGAGAAACGGUCCAGACUCCUACGGGAGGCAGCGGUGGGGAAUAUUGGAAAAUGGGCGAAAGCCUGAUCCAGCCAUGCCGCGUGUGUGAAGAAGGUCUUCGGAUUGUAAAGCACUUUAAGUUGGGAGGAAGGGCAGUAAGUUAAUACCUUGCUGUUUUGACGUUACCAACAGAAUAAGCACCGGCUAACUUCGU
rnacentral:rRNA from 1 species